rnacentral:rRNA from 1 species
GACGAACCGUGCGAACGUUGUUCGGAAUCACUGGGCUUAAAGGGCGCGUAGGCGGGCAAGCAAGUCCGGGGUGAAAUCUUUCGGCUCAACCGGAAAAGUGCCUUGGAUACUGCUUGUCUCGAGGGAGGUAGGGGUUGCUGGAACUUCCAGUGGAGCGGUGAAAUGCGUUGAUAUCGGAAGGAACGCCGGUGGCGAAAGCGAGCAACUGGAUCUCUUCUGACGCUGAGGCGCGAAAGCUAGGGGAGCAAACGGG